UGCAAAUAAAUGGAGUAACCCCAGAGUGCAGUCUGGACGAUGGGGCGGGGCGACACUUCGAGGCGGAGCGAUACGUGUCGCCCCGCCCAUAUUUGUUUUCCCCGCCUUUGACAUUUUCCUCCGAGCCAGCAGGGGGCAGUUUGCGUUGAAACAAACAGAACGGUGGCAACUACAGCAGCAGAGUAAUAACGCUAUUCCGUAAAUUAUAAGAUAUUUACACAACCACUUUUACUCACAAAAGUGGUUGUGUAAAUAUCUUAUAAUAUGAAAUGCGAUGUUCGAUCAUUUAUUUAUCCAUGUACGCUCUGCACAUGGCUUUAGUUCAUAGGUUCGAUUUUACAGAGAGCUCAACCACUGAGGGGAGGAACUUCACCAUUCACCAUGUCUUCAGGCAGAGUCCAGCAAAGCAGAUGGUUAAGGGAUGUGCUCCGAAGUUUUUCGGAAAGCGGCACAGUUUGCCUGGCUAGACAUUGUGGCCAACUGGAAGAAUUGUCCUCCUGUCUCCUGACCGGAACGAGUUCAGACGGAUGUACAGCAUCAGGGAAUGCUUGCAGUGCAGAGCCCUUUUCAAGUUUAACCCACCAGGGUACAGGGAAGAGACCGGCGUGGUGAUCUUCUGGGCUUUUGUUUACACAGGAUUUUGUUCCAAGGACUGUUUUUUUUUUUUUUUUGCGGCAUGAAACACAUUUGUGUGUUAAGUUCAUUGAAGGGAAAUAGAGAAUGGACUGAGAUCAACUGGUUUUGAUGUAUUAAUUGAUUUCAUUUAAAGUUAAACUUUGCAGUGUAUAAUGUUUUAAUAAAAAAGCUAUGGAAAACA